UGAGACUUUUUUUAUAGACCUAGCUGCCAGGCCUCUGUCUGGGUGACUCCUCAAGACAGGCUCUCAGAAUUUCAUCAUGGAACAUUAACUACCUUUUGACCCCAUGGAAUCUAAAAUACACAAAUCCAUCUUUAAUCACCGAAGUGGAAGAUCCACUUCUUUAAGCAUCCAUUAAAGAAUUCAGCCAGAAAUUGACUGCAAUCCAUUGCUUGACGAAGGCUCACUUGAGACCCAGGAUAUUUAAGAAAGAUGACACCCGUUAGUCACUCAUUCCAAAUGUCUAAGAUACAUGGUGUCCAGAUCCUCACCUAGGCCCUGCAGAACAAAAGGAAUAAAGGAACAAAUAUCUAGAAGACUAGAAUCUCGAAUCAAAUCUACACCUGCUUUAAGUCAACAAGCGAGUAGCUAUGAGUAUAUUUACAGCUAUGAAUGCUGUAGACAUCUAUAUUCCAUUUCUGGAAUAUAGAAGAAGCAUGAACUUACAUUUUUCUGCAAAGCAAUCUACAAAGGAUGCUCUGUUCCUAAAUCUCACUCUACUAAUUUUAUCCUCGUGUUCAUUUCAUUGCCAUCAAUAUCGACCUCAUCAACUCAUCAAAAAACACUAUUAAUACCUGAGCUUGGAGCCGUGCUGUGUGGCCUACAAAGUGCAAUGAGCUUCCAGAUUAAACAAGAAGGGUCUAUGGAAUAUUGGUUAAAAAGAGGGAGAAGAAGAGAAUGUAUUGGAAUCCUGAAAUGCCUAAUCUUUAUUUUUGAGUAAAAAUAAAAAAUCCGAAAUAAAGACUCUGUCAAUACUAAAGACUCUGAAAAGCGAAGUAAUAAUAAUUAAUAGUAACGACAAUUUACAAAACCCUCACAGAACCAGUUUGGGCAACUAUGAACGUCCAGAAAAUUCUGAUGGAGUCAUCACAGAAUUGGAGGAAGGGAGGAAGAGUUUGCAGGAGAGAAAACAGUAGGUUCUACUAUCUCAACUCUUACUUGGACUGAGCCAGAGCAUCUGAAACAUGAGUGCAGCCCUCACGCACGCGCUGCCCCUUGUGUUGAUGUUUUCUGCUGAGUCUGGUUUCCACUCUGUGCCCUGGAUUUCCAUGGAAGACGGAGGAACGUCACUAGAAACAGUUACUUCCCUAAUGACAUUCUGUGGAUACAAACUUAAGUGGUAAAACCAGCAAAGCCUCUCGAGGAACGGUAUUCUCCAAUCUCACGAUAGUGGUGGCCUCCGAGGACGGAGGCGAGGGGAGGGGAAAGGGAGGAAAUAUGUAAUAGGAUGUUCAGCGUUUCGUUUCUUCAUUCAAAGAGAGAUUUGAAACAUACUUGGAAAGACAUUAAACAUGUCAAAUCUGGGAACAAAUUAUAUUUUUUACUAUACUCUUUUUUAUGUAUUUGGAAUUUAGAAUCCAAAACUCAAACACAUAAGGAAACCAUCAUGCAAAACUCACUAAUUCGUUUGAUGUUAUUGAAAGCACUGUCGUCUACAGCAGCAUUUCUCAAGAUGUAACGUGUACACAGAUCACGUGAGGAUGUUGUUAAAAUGUGGAUUUGGCUUCGGUAAGUUUGGCUGGGGCCUGAGAUUCCACGUGUCUAACAAGUGCCCAGGUGGUACCAGUCCGAGAACCACAACUUGAGUAGCUAGUCCUCACAGUCCGUCACCGUGGAACCCCUCUACCCCACAGUGCCAUUUUGUGAUGAAUGCAUCAAAGAAAUUUCUCAAAAGGCACAGUUCCAAGAAAAGUUAUGUUUAUCCUCAGUAAUUUGUUGAUUGUGACCUUGUAGAUGCUAUAUAUUUUGCUUCCCUCUGCCUUGACCACUAGGAAGCUUAAAGGCAAAUCUGCUGUCUGCCGUGAGAACUCCACAAGACUACAAGGCACACAUUUUUAUGAACUAAUUUACUCUGGUUUUAUUUUCCUCCCCAUAUUUUCCUUUUGUUAUAACUUUAAUGCAUAAACAUUGUAUUCCAUUGGUCUAUAUCUCUUAUAAAUUUCUUCAAAUCCUCUCAGCAAUGAGGCUUGGUAUAUUUAAAUUAAUUCAUAACAAAGAGGUCACUGUUUUGAACUGGUUCACUGUUUUGAAGGGGCCUUGUGGGGAAGAGGGAUGUGUACACAAUUCAGAUGGCAUAUACAAAUCUAUAUAGAAGCCAUGGCAAGGAGUAUCUAAAUUUGCAUGAGAGUACCUGGAAUGUUACUGUCACUAGUAUUAUGCUUAUCAUUAAUAUUUAUAGGCACGAUAAUGAUAGCAACCACUGAU